ensembl:lncRNA
ACCCUAACCCCCUCAAAAAAUCCAACAUGGCGGAGAGACGUUCACUCAAGAAUCCGACAUGGUCCGCCAUGUUGUUCAGUCAGGGGGCGUGGUUAACCACCGCCAGUUCGCAUGUAUCGCUACGAAUUUGUAUGUCCAAGAUUUCCGUAGACGUUUUUGGGAUCACAUAUUGCUGGGAUGUGUUAAUCUUACACCUCUGCUCAGCGAGGAGAAAUAGAUGCUUUCUCCCGCUCGCGCCCUGACUUUGAGUCGUCGGCCCAGUGAUCUCUGUUAGGCUAAUUAAGCCAUUUAACCUGCCGAAACAGUUCAGUGCGGCUGCCGCGACACCUCGCCGGGACCCUGAAGGUGCAUCGCGCGGAUGCUCGUGUGUGACUGAUCCCUUCCCAGAUACAGCAAAAGGACGAGCGAUGUUUCAUAUCAUUACCAUAAACAAAUUAGGGCACCGCUCCCUCGUUAGGCCAAAUAUGUCUCAUUAGUGCCACAGCUGAACAAACCUCCCGAUUAGGCCUCACUGUCUUCCUUUGAAGCCGCAAAAGGAGGGUCUAUUUUUUAAUUAAGCUCAUUUGCAUCAACAAAUGAGAAGCUAAUUAAUGAGACCCGUUUUCUGGGUCCUUUUUUUGAGUUUGGCAGGAAGAUGGUUUGCGAGCCAUUAAAUCAGGUCAGAGUGUCAUCAAAGAGACGUGUACGGUUUAUAAUCUCAAACCUUAAUAUUUAAACUAUUUAAUAUGCAGACAAGGUCUACACUGUUAAAAAAACAGCCUCUUCUUGGAGGACUGACGUUCUCCCUGAAACCAUUUGAUUCUCUAGAACUCUUUUUAUGAAUUCAUAUUAGCUAAUCAAGAUUUCUUUUUUAAGACUAUGUUGAGUCCUUUUCCUCCAUUUUUAAAUUUAAAAGUGUUCACCGCUUUGGCUGGACAACUCAAAGAACAGCAUUCAAACACAUUUAAACUCAAAGCGUUUAUUAAGUAAACAGCUGCUUGCAAAACAAUAGAAUUGAAUUUCAGAAUUAAAAGACCAAAUUGGCAACAAAUCAGGAACAACCUGUUUAAAUAUUUCUGUAAUAGUUGGUUUUCUCAUAACUAAUCAUUAUCCAUCAAAGUAUGUGUUUGUCUUCACUCGUAGUAACUACAUCUGACUAAAUCCUCGAUGAACUGACCAAGAACAACAAUAAACAAACAGUAAACAACAUUAUUGUCGUCACCAGGGUGCGUGGAGGGCAGGACUCAAACGCAGACUUCAAAGUGACAAGAGAUACACACGGCUUAAAUACACUGGGGAGGCGCAGGUGAUUGGACACAGGUGGAAACAAUCAGACAAUCACAGGGGACGACAGGACAAGGCAGGAAGUGAAGUUAGCCAGAGAGACAAGAAGCAGAAAACUACAAAAUAAGACAGGAAAUAAACCCACACCGUGACAAUCGUAUUGUCUAGACUAGAGAACUGCAAACUCUACAUUGGUCUUUAGGAAUCUUUUUGGCCAGAUUUAAUCAUUAAUUAAUCAUUACACCCUGGAACACUGGAGCUCCGGGGCGGCGCCGUCUCCUGCAGACGUGAGCAUGCGCAGUGGAAAAUGUAGUUCUAUUUCUCUUGUCUUCUUCUUCUGCUUCUUUUCAUGUCUAUAUAUAUAUAUAUAUAUGUGUGUGUGUGUGUGUGUGUGUUUACUAUCAUAUACCCACGCCCGCUGGCCUAGUUACCCAUAUAGCCCCAAGUUAACUAUACUAGUUCCUUUCUCUACUUAACGGUCUCAGUGGCUACUCACUGUAGCAUCAUCAUGUUGCACCUCACCACCACAAAGGGGCAGCAUCCUCUAAAGAACUGCCCCAACCUGCAGGCAGCAGUGCCAACGCUCAGGCUGGGUCCGUUUCAGUGUGAUGCUCCAUAACGGACGCUGAGUGGCAGCCUCGCGUCUCUAUUACGUGUCGUACGCAGGCAGCGUGUUCUUCAGCCUCAGGAGACCUUUUGCUUUCCCCAAACAACGAUUAAAAAGAGAAGGAUUAUUUUUUUUCUGCAGGCCGGCGUGGUGUUGGGCGCCUCACAACAAGAAGGUCCCGGGUUCUUUGGUGGUGGAGGUUGCAGGUUCUGUCCGGGUACUCCACCUUCCUCUCACAGUGACACAUUUCCUGUAUGAUGAACGUGACUGAUAUUAUCUCUGCGACGUGAGACUCACUGUGUCACCAAAAGGACACUGCGCUAUGAUAUUUGAUGAGGUUAGGUGACGUUUUUUAAAACACUUUAAAAAAGAGUUCCGAAAAGUUCACUGUGUUUCUUUCGAUGACGCUUCAUCAUAACGUUGCACCAUAACCUGCUCACAUACCAUCUGACCGUAUGUUGUGCGGAUGCAGAUUUAAAACAUUAAGCUCGCCUGUUGUCUUUGAAAGUAUUAAUAACAGUUUAUAGGCCUCAUGAUAUGUGACUGGUUGAACACACAGUGAAAACCGAGGCCUUCACGGGUCAAAUGUCACGCGCGAGCGUAACUUCCCCCUGAUCCUUUGCAGCGUGCACGUUGAUUUGUCCACAUCACACGAGCGUGCAUGUGAAAUAUAAUAAUAGUAACAAGGAAGGAGGCAAAUGAUUGUAAUCAUUAAAGAAGGAAGCUCUCGAGGUUGCUUUUAAAAAACCAAUAAAGCACAUCAGUGCCAACUUGUUCCCUCAGUCCGCUGCACACACACCGAAAACCAUCGCGCUGGACUUUGUGACAAAAUGUCUGAGAUGUUCUGUGGAACCAAGAGAAGGAGCUUUCUGAACAGAAAUCAGAUUUCCUUCAUUCGGUGAAAGCUGCGCCGCGUGCCGCUCCCCUCUCGGGCAGGUGAGUUCUGCUGAGCUCAUGUUGUUGCAAAUGAUCCAAAUAAGCGUAUUUGCAUAACGAGUUCAUUUAAACGUUCCACCAAAAGCGAGUUAACGGUGAUUAGUGACAGUGAACAAUGCAGCAGCGUCGCUGGAUCUGCGACCGGGCGGCGCGUCGACUAUCGCGCUUGAAACCGGCAGUAGGCGCGAGCUCUUUCCGAGUAAAUUAAAACGCCCCCCUGAUGGG